rnacentral:lncRNA from 1 species
AUGAGGACAAGGACGAGAGGAGGAGGACGAGGAGGAGAGGAGGAGGAGGACAAGGAGGAGGAGGAGGAGGAGGAGGAGGAGGAAGCAGGAGAAGGACCUUUGGUAUUAUCACAAACCUUGUUCUCUGCAGGGCUGCAUUGCAAAGCACCACAGUACAAUAAGCCCACCAGAGGAACAGGUUCUCCUAAUCGCGGGAGGACUGUGAGGGCUCCCAGUCAAACGCUGAGUUUCACCCUGUGCCGAAAGCUGGAGAGGUGCAGAGUCAUGUAAUAGCAAGCAGAGGUGAGGAGUGGACUUGGCUCGUCAAAUCACUUGAUUCAAUCGUAUAAAAGGAUAAAAGAAACAAAUACAAAGGGCUCCAUUUACUCCCCAAAGAGAAACAACCAACUUUUAAGUAAUCACUUAGGAACAUGAUACUAAUGGAGCUUAAUGUAUCUUUGUUUCAUCGCUAACUUGAGAAAAAAUAAUUAAUUGAUUUUCAUAUGAGAACUGUAGUUGUAAACAACAACAAGAAGCUCAGCAGGGGAAAGCAGCCCUUGUUUUCUGCGCUGCUCGGCGGCAGCUCGGCAGCGCGUGGCCAUCCCGCCCUGACACCAAGCAUCCUUUCCCCAUGCCCCUCCGCAGCUGCUGACGCCUGGACAAGGUCUAGCUAGGAAUGACUACGGCCUGUGCCUCCUCGCCUCCCUCUGUUUUAUGCCAUGGCUGGUGGGACCAGGCUCUACAGCUUCCCGUCCCACGUGUUAGAGGUUCUGCCACAGGUGAUAAGUAGUUUCAGGCAUGCCUGGGUCUCGCACACGCUGCCCACUGGGAAGGCCGGUGCCGAACCCUCCUGUCCAGGACAGAAAAACCUCCAGGUUUCAUUUCUGGAGCUUUUACUAAGGGUUUUUUCUACAUUGGGAAGGCGAGUCUGCAAGCAGGCGUAUGGCUUGAGCAGCUCCUCUCUGCAAACUUGAGGGUGCCAAGCGCCUGCAGCAAGAGGGACUGCACUGGAUGGUGCCUGGCCUCCAGCGGGGUCAUGCAAGGUGAAGGGGGCUCCUUGCACGGUUUCAGCCAAGACACGUGCGCACACGGUCCGGGCAAACCGGGCUUCGGUUGAGUGAAGAGGUUGGCAUGGUCACAAGUGGGUGCUUCCCACCAGGGACGUUGGUCACUGACAUUGGCCAGAGAUAACGUUCCUCUUGGUCUUUUCUCCCUUUACGCCUGAGAGCCCCAGCUGGGACUCAUCUUGCCUGAUUACAGAUAUUUAAAGUGGUUGCAGUGGUCAGGUAGC